GGAGGGGUUGACUUGUUAUUGCGGAAGUGAUCCAGUUGCAGAUGACAGCUGAGUGCAAACACAGACAGACAAAAACAGCUUUGUUCCUGAUACACUACUGAGACCUCACUUGUAUUCUGUGCCACAGAUCUACAAACCCAGGAAAAAUGGUGUGACUGAUCAUCAAUGCCUGCAGGUAUGUGGUGCGGAAGAUCCAGGCUGCAGUGAGAGGUGAGGAGCAGCCACAGAUGAGAGGCACCACAGCAUGUAGCCAGGCAAAAGCACAAAGGGAUGACAGCAUGAGUGCCAAACCAGCCUUGAUUCCCCAACCGGCAGAGACAGUUGAUGUGCUGCAGAAGAAAGAUUGUAGAUCCUGAAAGUAAACUGAGAGCUGGAGGGUAGUGUGGAAAGUCCAUAAUGAGAAGACAAAAAAAAAAAAAAAAAAAAAUACACGAUACAUAUACAAAUACAAACGCGCACCCAUGGUUGUUGUCCUUCUUCAGCCUGGCAGUUUUUUUUUUAACCUGGCUAGCUGUGAGGCAACAUGAUCUUUUAAAAAAAAAAAUCUGGCUUGGACUGUAGCUUCAGACACUUUGGCUUUAAAAAAUCACAUCAAAAUUGAUAUUACAUGAUAUUGGUGAGCUGAUUGUAUGUGUGGCUCAAAGUUCAAGAUUAGAUCAGAGAGUCUUUUCAAAUUUAAUGAAAAUAUCUCCAACUCCAUAUUACUGAUUUGGCUUUCAAGUAUCAUUCUUACCAUUACAGUCAUAGGUUCAUUCAUGGCAAUGACAUGCAAAUUUGUCUGUGUUUCCUCCACAGUCUCACCCCAACACACAAACACAGACUGAAUCAGUCGUUAAAACCCACACGAAUAAACAGAAUUCCCAUCUGCUUCCAGCUCUUGGUUUUCUUUCAUGCUUGUCUUUCAUCCAGUGAAGUGAGCAGUCUGAGUUAGCAGAGAGAAUGAAAGCCUGAUCACCAAUUCCUCCACAGAGGAACUGAUCAGUCUGGAUAAAUAUUGAGGACUCUACUGAUGAAGCUGCACUUUCUUUUUUACUGUAAUAAAUUUCACUUUAAAAAGA